rnacentral:rRNA from 1 species
UACGAGGGGGGCAAGCGUUGUUCGGAAUUAUGGUGCGUAAAGGGUGCGUAGGCGGCUUGGUAAGUCUGAUGUGAAAUCUAUGGGCUCAACUCAUAGUCUGCAUCGGAAACUGCCGGGCUUGAGUGUGGGAGAGGUGAGUGGAAUUCCUGGUGUAGCGGUGAAAUGCGUAGAGAUCAGGAAGAACACCCGUGGCGAAGGCGGCACUCUGGGCCUGUACUGACGCUGGAGGCGACGAAAGCGUGGGGAGCAAACAGG